rnacentral:rRNA from 5 species
UAGUCGGAGGUGUGUCUCGGACGGUCGGUUCGCCGCUUGUCGGUGCUCAACUGGCCGGUCCGGACGUCCUGCCGGUGGGGCCGCGAGGCUCCGUUAUCCUUCUUUGGUCCUCUUCACCGAGUGCCUUGGUGGGCCGGCACGUUUACUUUGAACAAAUUAGAGUGCUCAAAGCAGGCCGUUGGUCGCCUGAAUACUGUGUGCAUGGAAUAAUGGAAUAGGACCUCGGUUCCAUUUUGUUGGUUUUCAGAACUCGAGGUAAUGAUUAAUAGGGACGGACGGGGGCAUUCGUAUUGCGACGUUAGAGGUGAAAUUCUUGGAUCGUCGCAAGACGAACCGAUGCGAAAGCAUUUGCCAAGAACGUUUUCGUUGAUCAAGAACGAAAGUUAGAGGUUCGAAGGCGAUCAGAUACCGCCCUAGUUCUAACCAUAAACGAUGCCAGCUAGCCAUCCGCCGAAGUUCCUACUAUGACUCGGCGGGCAGCUUCCGGGAAACCAAAGCUCUUGGGUUCCGGGGGAAGUAU